rnacentral:lncRNA from 1 species
UUAAUUUAAGUUAAUUACCUUCUAAUAACCUAAAUAAAUUAGAUUCAUUGAUCUCCAAUUAUUGAUUGCCUAGGGUUUUGGAUCAAAUGCAUUAGGAGUUCAAACCCUUAAAUAUUUCCUUGAUUGUUUUGCAUGGGACACCACUUGAUUUGAUCAAGUUGGGCGUGCCCAAUUGAUAGAUGGUGUGUAGAACUAGCAAGGGGCAUCCUAUAACCCCUAUGUGGUAUGUGAG